UAAUACGUGAUCCCCAAGCGUUAUCCGGAUUUAUUGGGCGUAAAGCGUCCGUAGGCGCCCCGCCAAGUUUUCUGUUAAAUACUAGGGCUUAACCUUAGAGAUGCAGAAAAAACUGGUGGGGUAGAGGGUGUUAGGGGCUGGUGGAACGGUCGGUGUAGGGGUGAAAUCCGUUGAUAUCGACCGGAAUACCAAAAGCGAAGGCAUCCAGCUAGGGCAACCCUGACGCUGAGGGACGAAAGCGUGGGGAGCAAAAAGGAUUAGAUACCCUUGUAGUCCACGCUGUAAACGAUGGACACUGGCUAUUUGAAGUGUCGACCCUCCAAGUGGCGAAGCUAACGCGUUAAGUGUCCCGCCUGGGAAGUACGACGGCAACGUUA
rnacentral:rRNA from 1 species